GAAACCCUAACAUUCACUCUUCCCUUCGCGUCUCCCUCUUCACUCCUCCGCCUCAACUCUCAUCGUUCAGCGUCUCUCUCCUCCCUCCGCUGCCUCAGCUCUCGAUCGUUCAGCGUCGCCCUCCUCCGCGUCAUGUAUAGGUCUCCCUCCUCCGCGUCCAGGUCUCCCUGCUCCGCAUCGCUGUCCUCCGCGUCCAGUCGCGUCGCCCUCCUCCGCGUCCAGUUCUGCCUCUGCGUCCAGCUCUGACUCCGCGGCCGUCACUCCUCCUCCGCUACGUAGCUUCGUCCGCCUGCCUAGUCUCCUACUCAGGUUCAGAUUUGAGUAUUUUUUAUUUGGAUUAUUGAACUAAUUUUUGAGUUGGAUUAUUGAGUUGUGGUUGUUGGUAUUAUUGAUUUUACUUGUGAGUUCUGUUUUGAGUUUGAGUUUAUGUCCGAGUUUUGUCCUGUAUUGUGUAUGUUGUGUUGUCGCGCCUUUAUAUGAGCCUCGUGCAGUUUCUCAACGGCGUUCAAUUUCAUCUUUCCUAUUUUGAAUUUGGAUUCAUCCACUUUUAUUGUACUGAAC
rnacentral:lncRNA from 1 species